GACGAACGCUGGCGGCGUGCCUAACACAUGCAAGUCGAACGGAGAUACUUUUGAAGCUUGCGAAGGAGUAUCUUAGUGGCGGACGGGUGAGUAACGCGUGGGUAAUCUGCCCAUAAGCGGGGAACAACAGUUGGAAACGACUGCUAAUACCGCAUAAACUGCCUAAGGGCAGGAAAGGUGGCCUCUGAAUAUGAGGACGCUGAUGGAUGAGCCCGCGUCUGAUUAGCUGGUUGGUGGGGUAAAGGCCUACCAAGGCGACGAUCAGUAGCCGGCCUGAGAGGGUGAACGGCCACACUGGGACUGAGACACGGCCCAGACUCCUACGGGAGGCAGCAGUGGGGAAUAUUGCGCAAUGGGGGAAACCCUGACGCAGCGACGCCGCGUGAGCGAAGAAGGCCUUAGGGUUGUAAAGCUCUGUUUUAGGGGACGAAAGCUAUAGGGAGAAAUAUGCCCUGUAAAGGACGGUACCCUAAGAGGAAGCCCCGGCUAACUACGUGCCAGCCGCCGCAGUAAAAC
rnacentral:rRNA from 1 species